rnacentral:snoRNA from 1 species
AUGGAACAUAAUGACUGGAGCUCGCAUGAUUCAUGAUUAGUGUCUCUGUGUGGCCAGGACUUGCAAAAUGGCCUCCUAUGAUUCCUGCCUCC